UACAGAGGGGGCAAGCGUUAUUCGGAAUUAUUGGGCGUAAAGGGCGCGUAGGCGGCUUGGCAAGUGGAUGGUGAAAUCCCUCGGCUUAACCGAGGAACUGCCAUCCAGACUGCUUUGCUUGAGGCCGGGAGAGGUGAGUGGAAUUCCCAGUGUAGCGGUGAAAUGCGUAGAUAUUGGGAGGAACACCAGUGGCGAAGGCGGCUCACUGGACCGGUUCUGACGCUGAGGUGCGAAAGCGUGGGGAGCAAACGGG
rnacentral:rRNA from 1 species